GGUCAGGUCUUGGCACUUCCAUUUCAGGGUUUAUGGCAGGCAUAUCAUUUUUUGUCUUCUGGCUUUGAGGUUGCAUUUCAUCAGUUCUGCUCAAUUGCCUUUUUCAUUGAUGGAGCAGGCGCAAGAGCAUUAAUUUACUGGUGUUUUUUCAUCCUGGAUUUCUGGACUUCUCAUUGAAUCUUCACCUGAUGAGAUGGACUAUUUCAUUAUAAUUAGUUCCAGAAAUUAUCUUAUAAUGAGCUGUACCUUUAAUUACCUGAUAACUUCACAGACAAUAUUAUACCAGGCCCUGGACUAGAAACUGUUACCGUACCAUCAUU
rnacentral:misc_RNA from 1 species